CAGAAGUUAGGUUAACAUAAACCGUAAGUUUCCAAAACUUAAAAUGAGACUGUGUAGUUUUACUUUUGG
rnacentral:tRNA from 1 species